rnacentral:rRNA from 1 species
UACGUAGGGUCCGAGCGUUGUCCGGAAUUAUUGGGCGUAAAGGGCUCGUAGGCGGUUCGUCACGUCGGGAGUGAAAACUCGGAGCUUAACUCCGAGCCUGCUUCCGAUACGGGCAGACUAGAGGUAGGCAGGGGAGAGCGGAACUCCUGGUGUAGCGGUGAAAUGCGCAGAUAUCAGGAGGAACACCGGUGGCGAAGGCGGUUCUCUGGGACGUAACUGACGCUGAGACGCGAAAGCGUGGGGAGCAAACAGG